CCUACGGGCGGCUGCAGUGGGGAAUAUUGGGCAAUGGGCGAAAGCCUGACCCAGCAACGCCGCGUGAAGGAAGAAGGCCUUCGGGUUGUAAACUUCUUUUAUGAGGGACGAAGGAAGUGACGGUACCUCAUGAAUAAGCCACGGCUAACUACGUGCCAGCAGCCGCGGUAAUACGUAGGUGGCAAGCGUUAUCCGGAUUUACUGGGUGUAAAGGGCGCGUAGGCGGGAAGGCAAGUCAGAUGUGAAAUCCAGGGGCUCAACCCCUGAACUGCAUUUGAAACUGCUUUUCUUGAGUGUCGGAGAGGUAGAUGGAAUUCCUAGUGUAGCGGUGAAAUGCGUAGAUAUUAGGAGGAACACCAGUGGCGAAGGCGAUCUACUGGACGAUAACUGACGCUGAGGCGCGAAAGCGUGGGGAGCAAACAGGCUUAGAUACCCCUGUAGUC
rnacentral:rRNA from 1 species